rnacentral:SRP_RNA from 14 species
CCUCCUCAGGCUCGGAAGCCAGCAGCGC